AGAAGGUAGCAUUGGCACUCCAUGCAGUCAUGCCAGUGGCCACAUGACCUUGGAGGUGUCUACGGACAACGCCGGCUCUUCGGCUUAGAAAUUAAGAUGAGCACCAAGCCCCAGAGUGUGAGUAGAUCAAUAGGUACAGCUCCGGCAAGAAGGUAGCAUUGGCACUCCAUGAAGUCAUGCCAGUGGCCACAUGACCUUGGAGGUGUCUACGGCCAACGCUGGCUCUUUGGCUUAGAAAUGGAGAUGAGCACCAACCCCCAGAGUCGGUCACGACUGGACUUAAUGUCAGGGGAAACCUUUACCUUUACCUUUUAUCUGUUUUAAACCUUUAGAAGCUGCCUUGCUUCCCAGACUGGGGGAAAGGCAGGAUAGAUUGGCCUAAAGACCCCAAAAAGGUACAGAUUCCUGUCUGAUCAGGGAAAAUAACCAGAGUCAAAGCUGGUGGGAACUGGGAUGUUUCUGUUGGCUGUAUUCCAAUGUAAUCAACACACAAACCCAAGCAUUUUUUAAAAGAAUUUUAUUAAAUUUUUUAUACUACAUCAAAAGAGUGAGAACAACCAAGGUAUAGAAAAGUAGGGAAAAGAGAGAAAGAUAAAAGUCUACAAUCUACAAAAAAUACCCACACACAAAAAAGACUUCCAUUCCAUCUUCUUGGAUAAUAUUUUCUUAUUAUUCAAUAAUAUUUUUUCUUGCUAAGGAGAAAAAAAAUAGCAACAUUGUCUCUCGUAAUCUUCAUUUUCUCAAAUUAUCCAGAUAGUCCUGAAGAUCAUCCCAGGCAAGAUAAUGAAAAGAACGAAUUGGGACGAUCAAACCCAAGCAUUUUUGAUAAGGAGAUUGAACCUAUAAUAAGCCAAAUGAAUGGCUCAGAGGACACCUUUCAGAAGCCCAGCCUUGGCUGAAACCUUUCUAUUUUGCUGCUAAUGGCAUUUACUGGUUCAAGUCCCUCUGCGACACCAAACAUGGAGCCCUAGGUGGCAGUACAGGAUUCAGAUUGCAGAUCCGUUUGGCCGAAUCACACCCUUGAGGCCAGAGAAUGAGAAGGCAAGAGAAGCAACACAAUGACCAAAAAUGCAAGGUUUUGUUAUCCAUGUGUCCGAACCCUUGCUUGGUUUCACAAACACUUGUGGAUAAUAUCACAAUCCCAGAUUUCUUUGGAUAUUGGGGGCAGUUAAAACUCAACUGAAUGAAUCCUAGAACAAUUCAAGCCUGAACUGUCUCUAUAACCCAAGAUGACCAAACUGAGGUUGUUAUCCUUUGGGUUUCCCAUGAAACCACCAAACGCCGGAGAUGAAAAAAGGGAAAGACUUUACCUCUGUCUGUAUUGUAUAUCAUUGUGUUUGCCUCAUAUACCCCGUUUCCCCUAAAAUAAGACAUCCCCAGAAAAUAAGACCUAGUAGAGGUUUUGCUGAAUUACUAAAUAUAAGGCCUCCCCCGAAAGUAAGACCUAGUAAAGUUUUUGUUUGGAAGCAUGCCCACCGAACAGAACACUAGAGCAUGCAGGAUCGGUAAAUGUACAUGCCAUAGAUUGUUGUACAUAGAAAUAAUGGUAGUAACAAGAAAUUUUUGAUAGGAUUCAUAGUUUGUCUGGUGAUGCUGGUUUAUGAUGACAGCUACUGUACAGUAUAUAGUAAAUUUUCAUUUUUUUGUUCAAAAAUAAAUGUGAAUUCUUCUUCAUGGAAAAAUAAGACAUCCCCUGAAAAUAAGACCUAGAGCAUCUUUGGGAGCAAAAAUUAAUAUAAGACACUGUCUUAUUUUCGGGGAAACACGGUAGAAGCCAAGACGACCAAACCGAGGUUGUUAUCCUUUGGGUUUCCCAUCAAACCACCAGACGCCGGAGAUGAAAAAAGGGAAAGUCUUUACCUCUGUCUGUAUUGUAUGUCGUUGUGUAAAAGGCAAUGAAUGUUUGCCUCAUAUAUAUCAUGUAAUCCUCUGAGUCCCUCUGGGGAGAUAGAGCAAAAUAUAAAUAAAGUAUAUGUUUGUGUUGUCGAAGGCUUUCAUGGCCGGGA